GCCAGCUUGCCGUUGUUAGUAUUUGCUGGUUCCAAAAAAGAGAAGACAUCAUUUCAUAUUUAAGUUGCACAGAUGCAAGUAUUUAUUUUGACAAUGCCGGUCCUCACCAAUCUUAUAUUGGUUAAUAAGAAAGAAAAAAGAAAA